rnacentral:ncRNA from 16 species
GGGCCCGUAGCUCAGCCUGGUAGAGCGGCGGUGGAAACCCGUAGGUCGUGGGUUCGAAUCCCACCGGGCCCG